AUCAUUUUCAAAUCAAGGGAUCAAAAAGUGCAACUAAAAUGUCAACACAAAGGCUGUAUUAGAGUUGACGCCCGGAUCACUCGGGGCGCGCACCAAAUGAUUUUAGAUCAAUUCUUUUGGAUCUCAGGACGAUAUCUGUCGGGUCACACUCUUUUUUUUUUUCUCUUCUUAUAGGAUGGUGUAUUGAAGUUCAGCACACAGCACGUGCAUAUAAAGUAGCUCAAAAUUUUCACAUUUGUAUGUAAACAGAGUCACAAGUAUAAUCCUGUUCUUUUAGCAUUAUACUUGUGACAGUCUUGUGGCAGGACCACAAUCUAAGAGAUGCUAAGACUCGGAAAAAAUGGACAAGUCAGACAACAAAAAUAUAACUAUCCCUUACAUCUGUUAUUAUAAUCUGCACAAUGGAUUAUUUCAAAAAAUCAGCCUGAUUAUUCAUAAGGUAACAUGAAUCACAAUGAAAUAGUUUACCUGGAUGUGGAUUGUAGCCAGACAGUAAAAUACCCAAGAAACACUUUUACUUCAACCUUGGUUACAGCAGAGUCGGGUACAUUUUUAGAAGAAGCAUAACUCCUGGACUCAUAUUUUUGCACAGUACAUUUUUAUCACUAAGAGUCAUCAUUUUAUUAUGUUUUGAUGGAACCUCUAAAUCUCCAGAUAUCCAAGAAAUGUUUUUAUCCAAGUUACUCACAGUAAUGUAUCAAUUGAAUUUGGGAAAUUUUUGGCCCUACCAUUUUUCUGUUUAGUGUAAUUCCCCAAGUAUCAAAUAUAGAAAUAAAGCAUCCGUUCUAGCAGU